rnacentral:misc_RNA from 1 species
AACGGUACUGGGUGGACGACUCGGCACGUUUAUCGAGGACGAGCGCAACAAAACGCGAUAUGAGGCGAGAUAUGUAAAGAUUUACCAGAUCGUCAUCAUCUCAAAUGCAAACUGUGCCUGAUUCAAAAUCAGGCGUGUCUAGUUCAGUUGGGAUCCUUUAUUCUAAGCUCAAGCUUGCACUUGUGUAAGUUCUGAGUAGAGAACUUGGACUUCGAUUUCGAUCGAUGUUCUGAAAAAGGAUUUAAUUGUGAACUUCUGGUUUCCAAUUAGAUCAGGCAAGUUGGAUCAACCCCAGCUCCCUGAUUGAAAGGAUUCUAAUUGCUCACUCAACAACCCCCAAUGAGCUUAGGCAUGAAAACCCCGGGGACUUAAGCAUAUCAUUACCGGGAGGAAAAGAAAUCAACAGAGAUUCCAUGUUUAGCGGCGAGCGAAACUGGAAUAGCCCACGCUGAAGCAGGUUUGUUUGAUUACAGGCUUGCAAUGUAGCGAAUCCACAGCGUUAUGCAUGCUUUGAAACAACGGUGAAAUUUGGCUCUGGAACGCCAUACCAAAGAAGGUGAUAGUCCUGUAACCGUAUGUCAAUGGGUGUGUACUUGAUGUUGAUGGUUGAGUCGAGCUGUUUGGUAGUACAGCUCUAAGCGGGUGGUAUGUUCCAUCCAAGGCUAAAUAUUCUGAAACGUGACCGAUAGCAAACAAGUACUGUGAAGGAAAGUUGAAAAGGACUUUGAAAAGAGAGUUAAAAGAGACCGAAACCCAAUACCGGUAA